rnacentral:tRNA from 1 species
GCCCGGGUGGCUUAGUUGGUUGAGCGUCUGACUUCAGCUCAGGUCAUGAUCUCAUGGGUUCGAGCCCCCCAUCAGGCC